rnacentral:lncRNA from 1 species
GAGAAUAUGAUAACAAAUAAUUUUUACAGUCGUAAAAAAACACUGAAAUGUUCUAAAAAUGUCCAACAUGUCAAAUAUAAAUGAAAGUAUCAAUAUUGUAGAUCCACAGUUACCUCUGAUAUAUCUCUCCAUGCUGUAUUGAAAUAAGCAGUAUCUAUUGUAUUACUAUCAUGAUGAGCUAGUUUAUUCCUGUAACAUUUUAUCCUGGCUAGAUCAGAUCCUGGAGUUAUCUCCCCUGGUAGUGGUAGACUGUCAAAUCCAUUGACUGGAGGAUUGAUAGAUGUUAAGUUUCUGAUUAAACAGAUCAUCAACGUUACAUCAAAUGUUUUGGAAUCCGGAAUACCCCUGUAACAUCAAAAGCAACAGAAAUGUAUCACUUAUAAUCCUAAAAUCAGUGUUAAAAGGUGUUAUGCUGGAGUAUUUCACUCACCAUUUUAAAUAUUACGUAAAACUA